rnacentral:rRNA from 1 species
AUUGAACGCUGGCGGCAUGAUUUACACAUGCAAGUCGAACGGUAACAGGCCGCAAGGUGCUGACGAGUGGCGAACGGGUGAGUAAUGCAUCGGAACGUGCCCAGUCGUGGGGGAUAACUACUCGAAAGAGUAGCUAAUACCGCAUACGAUCUAUGGAUGAAAGCGGGGGACCGUAAGGCCUCGCGCGAUUGUAGCGGCCGAUGUCAGAUUAGGUAGUUGGUGGGGUAAAGGCUCACCAAGCCAACGAUCUGUAGCUGGUCUGAGAGGACGACCAGCCACACUGGGACUGAGACACGGCCCAGACUCCUACGGGAGGCAGCAGUGGGGAAUUUUGGACAAUGGGCGCAAGCCUGAUCCAGCAAUGCCGCGUGCAGGAAGAAGGCCUUCGGGCUGUAAACUGCUUUUGUACGGAACGAAACGGCUCUGGUUAAUACCCGGGGCUAAUGACGGUACCGUAAGAAUAAGCACCGGCUAACUACGUG